UACGAAGGGGGCUAGCGUUGCUCGGAAUCACUGGGCGUAAAGGGUGCGUAGGCGGGUCUUUAAGUCAGGGGUGAAAUCCUGGAGCUCAACUCCAGAACUGCCUUUGAUACUGAAGAUCUUGAGUUCGGGAGAGGUGAGUGGAACUGCGAGUGUGGAGGUGAAAUUCGUAGAUAUUCGCAAGAACACCAGUGGCGAAGGAGGCUCACUGGCCCGAUACUGACGCUGAGGCACGAAAGCGUGGGGAGCAAACAGG
rnacentral:rRNA from 1 species